UGGGGAAUAUUGCACAAUGGGCGCAAGCCUGAUGCAGCCAUGCCGCGUGUAUGAAGAAGGCCUUCGGGUUGUAAAGUACUUUCAGCGGGGAGGAAGGGAGUAAAGUUAAUACCUUUGCUCAUUUACGUUACCCGCAGAAGAAGCACCGGCUAACUCCGUGCCAGCAGCCGCGGUAAUACGGAGGGUGCAAGCGUUAAUCGGAAUUACUGGGCGUAAAGCGCACGCAGGCGGUUUGUUAAGUCAGAUGUGAAAUCCCCGGGCUCAACCUGGGAACUGCAUCUGAUACUGGCAAGCUUGAGUCUCGUAGAGGGGGGUAGAAUUCCAGGUGUAGCGGUGAAAUGCGUAGAGAUCUGGAGGAAUACCGGUGGCGAAGGCGGCCCCCUGGACGAAGACUGACGCUCAGGUGCGAAAGCGUGGGGAGCAAACA
rnacentral:rRNA from 1 species